GUUGAAAAGCCCCGGGAUGACUUGUGGAUAGGGGUGAAAGGCCAAUCAAACUUCGUGAUAGCUGGUUCUCUCCGAAAUAUAUUUAGGUAUAGCGUUGUGUCGUAAUAUAAGGGGGUAGAGCACUGAAUGGGCUAGGGCAUACACCAAUGUACCAAACCCUAUCAAACUCCGAAUACCUUAUAUGUAAUCACAGCAGUCAGGCGGCGAGUGAUAAAAUCCGUCGUCAAGAGGGAAACAACCCAGACUACCAGCUAAGGUCCCUAAAUCUUACUUAAGUGGAAAACGAUGUGAAGUUACUUAAACAACCAGGAGGUUGGCUUAGAAGCAGCCAUCCUUUAAAGAAAGCGUAAUAGCUCACUGGUCUAGUGAUUUUGCGCGGAAAAUAUAACGGGGCUAAAGUAAGUACCGAAGCUGUAGACUUGCGCACAACUUAGAUUAUUUAAGUUUAGAAUAUGAGAAACUAAGUUAUAUGUUUAGUUAUAUUUUUACUGAUUUUUAUAGAGUAAAGAUAGAAAUAAAACUUAGUAAAAUCAGUAAAAAUAUUCUUAGACUAAAGUUAAGUAGUUUAAGUUGUGUGCAAGUGGUAGGAGAGCGUUCUAUUUGCGUCGAAGGUAUACCGGUAAGGAGUGCUGGAGCGAAUAGAAGUGAGCAUGCAGGCAUGAGUAGCGAUAAUUAAUGUGAGAAUCAUUAACGCCGUAAACCCAAGGUUUCCUACGCGAUGCUCGUCAUCGUAGGGUUAGUCGGGUCCUAAGUCGAGUCCGAAAGGGGUAGACGAUGGCAAAUUGGUUAAUAUUCCAAUACCAACAUUAGUGUGCGAUGGAAGGACGCUUAGGGCUAAGGGGGCUAGCGGAUGGAAGUGCUAGUCUAAGGUCGUAGGAGGUUAUACAGGCAAAUCCGUAUAACAAUACUCCGAGAACUGAAAGGCUUUUUGAAGUCUUCGGAUGGAUAGAAGAACCCCUGAUGCCGUCGAGCCAAGAAAAGUUUCUAAGUUUAGCUAAUGUUGCCCGUACCGUAAACCGACACAGGUGGGUGGGAUGAGUAUUCUAAGGCGCGUGGAAGAACUCUCUUUAAGGAACUCUGCAAAAUAGCACCGUAUCUUCGGUAUAAGGUGUGGUUCGCUUCGUAUUAGGAUUUACUCCGAAAGCGAAGAAACUUACAACAAAGAGUCCCUCCCGACUGUUUACCAAAAACACAGCACUCUGCUAACUCGUAAGAGGAUGUAUAGGGUGUGACGCCUGCCCGGUGCUCGAAGGUUAAUUGAUGGGGUUAGCAUUAGCGAAGCUCUUGAUCGAAGCCCGAGUAAACGGCGGCCGUAACUAUAACGGUCCUAAGGUAGCGAAAUUCCUUGUCGGUUAAAUACCGACCUGCAUGAAUGGCGUAACGAGAUGGGAGCUGUCUCAAAGAGGGAUCCAGUGAAAUUGUAGUGGAGGUGAAAAUUCCUCCUACCCGCGGCAAGACGGAAAGACCCCGUGGACCUUUACUACAGCUUGACACUGCUAUUUGGAUAAGAAUGUGCAGGAUAGGUGGGAGGCUUUGAGUAUAUGACGCCAGUUGUAUAUGAGCCAUUGUUGAGAUACCACUCUUUCUUAUUUGGGUAGCUAACCAGCUUGAGUUAUCCUCAAGUGGGACAAUGUCUGGUGGGUAGUUUGACUGGGGCGGUCGCCUCCCAAAUAAUAACGGAGGCUUACAAAGGUUGGCUCAGAACGGUUGGAAAUCGUUCGUAGAGUAUAAAGGUAUAAGCCAGCUUAACUGCAAGACAUACAAGUCAAGCAGAGACGAAAGUCGGUCUUAGUGAUCCGGUGGUUCUGUGUGGAAGGGCCAUCGCUCAAAGGAUAAAAGGUACCCCGGGGAUAACAGGCUGAUCUCCCCCAAGAGCUCACAUCGACGGGGAGGUUUGGCACCUCGAUGUCGGCUCAUCGCAUCCUGGGGCUGGAGCAGGUCCCAAGGGUAUGGCUGUUCGCCAUUUAAAGCGGUACGCGAGCUGGGUUCAGAACGUCGUGAGACAGUUCGGUCCCUAUCUGCCGUGGGCGUAAGAAGAUUGAAGAGAUUUGACCCUAGUACGAGAGGACCGGGUUGAACAAACCACUGGUGUAGCUGUUGUUCUGCCAAGAGCAUCGCAGCGUAGCUAAGUUUGGAAAGGAUAAACGCUGAAAGCAUCUAAGCGUGAAGCCAACUCUAAGAUGAAUCUUCUCUAAGCUCUCUAGAAGACUACUAGUUUGAUAGGCUGGGUGUGUAAUGGAUGAAAGUCCUUUAGCUGACCAGUACUAAUAGAGCGUUUGGCUUAUCUUUAAUAAAGCAU
rnacentral:rRNA from 1 species